rnacentral:rRNA from 1 species
GCGGUGGAGCAUGUGGUUAAUUCGACGCAACGCGAGAACCUUACCAGGGCUUGACAUCCCCUGACCGCGUAUGAAAGACGUUUUCACCCUCGGGUGACAGGGAGACAGGUGGUGCAUGGUUGUCGUCAGCUCGUGUCGUGAGAUGUUGGGUUAAGUCCCGCAACGAGCGCAACCCCUACGUUUAGUUGCUAACGCGUGAAGGCGAGCACUCUAGACGAACUGCCGUUGACAAAACGGAGGAAGGUGGGGAUGACGUCAAAUCAUCAUGCCCCUUAUGUUCUGGGCUACACACGUGCUACAAUGGCCGGUACAGACGGACGCAAAGCCGCGAGGUGGAGCAAAUCCUAAAAAGCCGGUCUCAGUUCGGAUUGCAGGCUGCAAUUCGCCUGCAUGAAGUCGGAAUCGCUAGUAAUCGCAGGUCAGCAUACUGCGGUGAAUACGUUCCCGGGCCUU